CCUGGAAUAGCUUAGUUGGUUAGAGCGUGUGGCUGUUAACCGCAAGGUCGGAGGUUCGAACCCAACCCUCCUUCUAGCG